rnacentral:rRNA from 1 species
UACGUAGGGGGCAAGCGUUGUCCGGAAUCAUUGGGCGUAAAGAGCGUGUAGGCGGCCCGGUAAGUCCGCUGUAAAAGUCAAAGGCUCAACCUUUGAAUGUCAGUGGAUACUGCCGGGCUAGAGUCCGGAAGAGGCGAGUGGAACUCCUGGUGUAGCGGUGGAAUGCGCAGAUAUCAGGAGGAACACCGGUGGCGAAGGCGGGUCUCUGGGCCGAUACUGACGCUGAGGAGCGAAAGCAUGGGUAGCGAACAGG